rnacentral:rRNA from 1 species
GUGGCUUCGGCCACGAGUAGAGCGGCGAACGGGUGAGUAACACGUGGAUAACCUGCCUGGAAGCGGGGGACAACUUGGGGAAACUCGAGCUAAUACCGCAUGUGCUCGUAUGGCAUCAGCUGUACGAGGAAAGGUGGCCUCUGCUUGCAAGCCAUCGCUUCCAGAUGGAUCCGCGGCUGAUUAGCUAGUUGGUGGGGUAACGGCCUACCAAGGCGACGAUCAGUAGCCGGCCUGAGAGGGUGAUCGGCCACACUGGAACUGAGACACGGUCCAGACUCCUACGGGAGGCAGCAGUGGGGAAUAUUGGACAAUGGGCGAAAGCCUGAUCCAGCAACGCCGCGUGGAGGAUGAAGGCCUUCGGGUUGUAAACUCCUGUCAGGUGGGACGAAAAGGCUUCGGUCAAUAUCCGGAGUCCUUGACGGUACCUCCAGAGGAAGCCCCGGCUAACUCCGUGCCAGCAGCCGCGGUAAUACGGAGGGGGCGAGCGUUAUUCGGAAUCAUUGGGCGUAAAGGGCGCGUAGGCGGCCUGCUAAGUCAGGGGUGAAAUCCCUCGGCUCAACCGAGGAAUUGCCUCUGAAACUGGCAGGCUUGAGGCCGGGAGAGGGUAGUAGAAUUCCCAGUGUAGCGGCGAAAUGCGUAGAUAUUGGGAGGAACACCAGUGGCGAAGGCGGCUACCUGGACCGGUUCUGACGCUGAGGCGCGAAAGUGUGGGGAGCAAACAGGAUUAGAU